UGUUCUCUGAGAUGCAGGUCAGUGGGUUAAGUCCCUGAGCCGAUAAAUUUUUUGUUAGGGACGCAGUUUAUUAGCUAUUGUGCAAGCUCGGCAUGUACCGAGAAGCCUGCGGCUAGUUGUUGUGUUCCGCCUUGAACCUUAGGGUUCAAGGGCUGACACCCGCAACCGCAUCUUGGAGACACU
rnacentral:other from 17 species